GCCAGACAUGGUGAUGCAUGCCUGUAAUCCCAGCAACUCAGGAGGCUGAGGCAGGAGGAUGCAAGUUCAAAGCCAACCCCAGCAACUUAGCAAGGCCCUAAGCAAGUUAGAAAUACCUUGUCUCAA
rnacentral:sRNA from 1 species